GAAUAUUGGUCAAUGGGCGCAAGCCUGAACCAGCCAUGCCGCGUGAGUGAUGACGGCCUUCGGGUUGUAAAGCUCUUUCGCUAGGGAAGAAUUAAUGACGGUACCUAGAUAAGAAGUCCCGGCUAACUCCGUGCCAGCCGCCGCGGUGAUACGGAGGGGGCGAACGUUGUUCGGAUUUACUGGGCGUAAAGGGAUCGUAGGCGGUUAUUCAAGUCAGAUGUGAAAGCCCAGGGCUCAACCCUGGAACUGCGUUUGAAACUGGAUGACUAGAAUCAUGGAGAGGAUGGCGGAAUUGCCAGUGUAGAGGUGGAAUUCGUAGAUAUUGGCAGGAACACCAGAAGAGAAGUCGGCUAUCUGGCCAUUGAUUGACGCUGAGGGUCGAAAGCGUGGGGAGCAAACAGG
rnacentral:rRNA from 1 species